GUGCCUACUGAGCUGAUACUCAGU
rnacentral:miRNA from 19 species